UCGAGAUGAAAAGCACAGUAUCCUGGUCCUGGAGUUUAUAAUCCAGCUCACCCUGCAGGCCAAGGGGAAAACAUGAGAAAUGGUUGAAAUGGCAUUUCCAAAUCCUGGCUGUAAAGAGAAAACAGCCCGUAAAGCGAUGAUCAAAUAAAGGGGAGGCAGGAGCAAUCCCAAAGCUCAUUUGAAUCAAAAUGCACCAUUCCUGAGGAUGCUCUGAGAUGACUACAUUGCCCUUCGAUGUAGGAAAGCCAGGUAAUUAAAACCCACGCGCUCCAGUCGAGCGCAGAGAGCUCGAUGUGAAGGUAGGGAAAGCCAUCCCAGUGCCCCUACCGAAGGCACUAAACACCCGGGGAUCCACUCCCAGCCCCUGAUUCCGAGCAAAGGGAUUCCCCCCUCUUUGAUCUUCAGUGUCCUGCAAUUGUCUCUCCUGUUACCAGGGGACCUGGCACAUGCUUCAUCUCACAAAGAUCCGUGACGAAUGCUCAGCACCCCCAGCGCCACCCCGCAGCACAGCUCCCUCUGCUCCAUUUCUCUUGGCUUUUUACUCUUCCCCCCGCGUCCGUCCACGAGGUCGGCCCCAUUUUGACAAUAAAAAUACAUUUCCCAGAA